GUCUCCCACAGGGUUGACCUGGUAAGGCCCCUGACUAGACGAUCAGGUUGAUAGGCCGGAGGUGGAAGGGCGGUAACGCCUGUAGCUGACCGGUACUAAUAGGCCGAGGACUUGACCAC
rnacentral:rRNA from 1 species